CAAGAAAAGCCGCUAUUGUUUAUACCGUACCCGUACCGUAAACCGACACAGGUGGAUGAGGAGAGAAUCCUAAGGCCGGCGGAAGAAGCAUUGUCAAGGAACUCGGCAAAAUGACCCCGUAACUUCGGGAGAAGGGGUGCCACUGAGAAGUGGCCGCAGAGAAUAGGCUCAAGCAACUGUUUAGCAAACACACAGGUCUAUGCGAAACCGAAAGGUGAGGUAUAUGGGCUGACGCCUGCCCGGUGCUGGAAGGUUAAGAGGAGAGGUUAGCGCAAGCGAAGCUUUGAAUUUAAGCCCCAGUAAACGGCGGCCGUAACAAUAGCGAUCCUAAGGUAGCGAAAUUCCUUGUCGGGUAAGUUCCGACCCGCACGAAAGGCGUAAUGAUUUGAGCGCUGUCUCGACAAUGCAUCCGGUGAAAUUGAAGUACCAGUGAAGAUGCUGGUUACCUGCGCCAGGACGGAAAGACCCCAUGGAGCUUUACUCCAGUUUGGUACUGGGGUCCGGUAUUGCAUGUACAGGAUAGGUGGGAGGCUAGGAAGCAGUAACGCCAGUUGCUGCGGAGCCGCUGUUGGGAUACCACCCUUGCAGUACUGGGCUUCUAACCAGCCGCCGUGAACCGGCGGUGGGACAAUGCCAGACGGGGAGUUUGACUGGGGCGGUCGCCUCCGAAAGGGUAUCGGAGGCGCCCAAAGGUUCCCUCAGAAUGGACGGAAACCAUUCGAAGAGUGCAAAGGCAGAAGGGAGCUUGACUGCGACACCGACGGGUGGAGCAGGUACGAAAGUAGGGCUUAGUGAUCCGGUGGUAUUAAGUGGGAAUGCCAUCGCUCAACGGAUAAAAGCUACCCUGGGAUAACAUGCUUAUCACUCCCAAGAGUUCACAUCGACGGAGUGGUUUGGCACCUUGAUGUCGGCUCAUCGCAUCCUGGGGCUGUAGUAGGUCCCAAGGGUUGGGCUGUUCGCCCAUUAAAGCGGUACGCGAGCUGGGUUCAGAACGUCGUGAGACAGUUCGGUCCCUAUCCGGCGUGGGCGUAGGAUAUCUGAGAGGAGCUGUCCUUAGUACGAGAGGACCGGGAUGGACGGACCGCUGGUGUACCGGUUAGACUGCCAAGUCUACGGCCGGGUAGCCAAGUCCGGAAGGGAUAAACGCUGAAGGCAUCUAAGCGUGAAGCCCCCCUCAAGAUGAGAUGUCCCAUUCGAAAGAAGUAAACCCCCUUGAAGACGACGAGGUAGAUAGGGCAGAGGUGGAAGUGUGGCAACACACGGAGCUGACUGUUACUAAUAGGGUGAGGGCUUG
rnacentral:rRNA from 1 species